UACGGGGGGGGCAAGCGUUGUUCGGAAUUACUGGGCGUAAAGGGCUCGUAGGCGGCCAACUAAGUCCGACGUGAAAUCCCCAGGCUUAACCUGGGAACUGCGUCGGAUACUGGAUGGCUUGAAUCCGGGAGAGGGAUGCGGAAUUCCAGGUGUAGCGGUGAAAUGCGUAGAUAUCUGGAGGAACACCGGUGGCGAAGGCGGCAUCCUGGACCGGCAUUGACGCUGAGGAGCGAAAGCGUGGGUAGCAAACAGG
rnacentral:rRNA from 1 species